GAAAGUAUAGCUCAGUGGUAGGGUGCAUGCUUGGCAUGCAUGAGGUCUUGGGUUCAAUCCCUAGUGCCUCCA
rnacentral:tRNA from 1 species